GCUUACAUUAUAUUGCAAUUUCUACGCCUGAUCUCGUCCGAUCUCGGAAGCUAAGCAGGGUCGGGCCUGGUUAGUACUUGGAUGGGAGACCGCCUGGGAAUACCAGGUGCUGUAAGCU
rnacentral:rRNA from 1 species